GAGGGUAUAGCUUAGUUGUAGAGCAUUCGUCUGCAGGUCGAGAGAUCCCGGUUCAAACCUGGGUACCUUCU